rnacentral:rRNA from 1 species
UGCGUAGGCGGGUCUUUAAGUCAGGGGUGAAAUCCUGGAGCUCAACCCAGAGCCUGCAUCCGAAACUGGAGGGCUAGGGUUCUGGAGGGGAAAGCGGAAUUCCUGGUGUAGCGGUGAAAUGCGUAGAUAUCAGGAGGAACACCGGUGGCGAAGGCGGCUUUCUGGACAGAUACCGACGCUGAGGCACGAAAGCUAGGGGAGCAAACA